rnacentral:rRNA from 1 species
GUCGACGGUAACAUAUAUACUAGCUAUGCUAGAAGAUAGACGAGUGGCGGACGGGUGAGUAAUGCUUGGGAACUAUGCCUUAUGCGAGGGGGAUAACAGUUGGAAACGACUGCUAAUACCGCAUAAUGUCUUCGGACCAAACGGGGCUUCGGCUCCGGCGCAAAGAGAGGCCCAAGUGAGAUUAGCUAGUUGGUAAGGUAACGGCUUACCAAGGCGACGAUCUCUAGCUGUUCUGAGAGGAAGAUCAGCCACACUGGGACUGAGACCGGCCCAGACUCCUACGGGAGGCAGCAGUGGGGAAUAUUGCACAAUGGGGGAAACCCUGAUGCAGCCAUGCCGCGUGUGUGAAGAAGGCCUUCGGGUUGUAAAGCACUUUCAGUUGUGAGGAAAAGUUAGUAGUUAAUACCUGCUAGCCGUGACGUUAACAACAGAAGAAGCACCGGCUAACUCCGUGCCAGCAGCCGCGGUAAUACGGAGGGUGCGAGCGUUAAUCGGAAUUACUGGGCGUAAAGCGCACGCAGGCGGUUUGUUAAGCUAGAUGUGAAAGCCCCGGGCUCAACCUGGGAUGGUCAUUUAGAACUGGCAGACUAGAGUCUUGGAGAGGGGAGUGGAAUUCCAGGUGUAGCGGUGAAUGCGUAGAUAUCUGGAGGAACAUCAGUGGCGAAGGCGACUCCCUGGCCAAAGACUGACGCUCAUGUGCGAAAGUGUGGGUAGCGAACAGGAUUAGAUACCCUGGUAGUCCACACCGUAAACGCUGUCUACUAGCUGUGUGUGCCUAUAAGGCGUGCGUAGCGAAGCUAACGCGCUAAGUAGACCGCCUGGGGGAGUACGGCCGCAAGGUUAAAAACUCAAAAUGAAUUGACGGGGGCCCGCACAAGCGGUG